rnacentral:lncRNA from 1 species
GAAAUCUAGUUUAUUAUAACACCAACAAGAGGACUAGCAGAGACCCAACUAUCCCAUCACCAACAAUAGGAUUCAGGGAGUGUGUUUCCAAUUAUCCUUUCAAUCCCCUUUUUUUAUUUUAUGAUGUAUAAUUUUCAGUGUUCUUCUUUGAUAUUUUUUCUCUCUACUCAAAUGAUACUUUGCACUAGACUAGCUAUAAACAUUGGU